rnacentral:rRNA from 1 species
UACGUAGGGUGCAAGCGUUAAUCGGAAUUACUGGGCGUAAAGCGUGCGCAGGCGGUUUUGUAAGUCUGUCGUGAAAUCCCCGGGCUCAACCUGGGAAUUGCGAUGGAGACUGCAAGGCUGGAGUCUGGCAGAGGGGGGUAGAAUUCCACGUGUAGCAGUGAAAUGCGUAGAGAUGUGGAGGAACACCGAUGGCGAAGGCAGCCCCCUGGGUCAAGACUGACGCUCAUGCACGAAAAGCGUGGGGAGCAAACAGG